rnacentral:rRNA from 1 species
UACGAGAGGCCCAAACGUUAUUCGGAAUUACUGGGCUUAAAGAGCUCGUAGGUGGUUUGUCGCGUUGUCCGUGAAAACUCACAACUCAAUUGUGGGCGUGCGGGCGAUACGGGCAGACUGGAGUACUGCAGGGGAGACUGGAAUUCCUGGUGUAGCGGUGGAAUGCGCAGAUAUCAGGAGGAACACCGGUGGCGAAGGCGGGUCUCUGGGCAGUAACUGACGCUGAGGAGCGAAAGCGUGGGGAGCGAACAGG